CAGAUGCUAAUACCGGAUAACAACAGAUGAUGCCUAUCAACUGUUUAAAAGAUGGUUCUGCUAUCACUCUUGGGAUGGACCUGCGGUGCAUUAGCUAGUUGGUAGGGUAACGGCCUACCAAGGCGAUGAUGCAUAGCCGAGUUGAGAGACUGAUCGGCCACAUUGGGACUGAGACACGGCCCAAACUCCCUACGGGAGGCAGCAGUAGGGAAAUCUUCCACAAUGGACGCAAGUCUGAUGGAGCAACGCCGCGUGAGUGAAGAAGGGUUUCGGCUCGUAAAGCUCUGUUGUUGGUGAAGAAGGACAGGGGUAGUAACUGACCUUUGUUUGACGGUAAUCAAUUAGAAAGUCACGGCUAACUACGUGCCCAGCAGCCGCGGGUAAU
rnacentral:rRNA from 1 species